rnacentral:rRNA from 1 species
GACGAACGCUGGCGGCGUGCCUAAUACAUGCAAGUAGAACGCACAGUUUAUACCGUAGCUUGCUACACCAUAAACUGUGAGUUGCGAACGGGUGAGUAACGCGUAGGUAACCUGCCUGGUAGCGGGGGAUAACUAUUGGAAACGAUAGCUAAUACCGCAUAAUAUUGAUUAUUGCAUGAUAAUUGAUUGAAAGAUGCUAUUGCAUCACUACCAGAUGGACCUGCGUUGUAUUAGCUAGUAGGUGAGGUAACGGCUCACCUAGGCGACGAUACAUAGCCGACCUGAGAGGGUGAUCGGCCACACUGGGACUGAGACACGGCCCAGACUCCUACGGGAGGCAGCAGUAGGGAAUCUUCGGCAAUGGACGAAAGUCUGACCGAGCAACGCCGCGUGAGUGAAGAAGGUUUUCGGAUCGUAAAGCUCUGUUGUAAGAGAAGAACGGGUGUGAGGGUGGAAAGUUCACACUGUGACGGUAUCUUACCAGAAAGGGACGGCUAACUACGUG